rnacentral:sRNA from 1 species
UGGUAGAUGCACCCUGAUUAAAUAACUCCCGACCAAUUUUGGCCGGGUUUUUUUU